AAGCGCGUGCGUCCCUCCUAGUCCCGCCUCCAAGUCCCGUGGGCCUCUGCGAAAUGGUAUUUAAGGGACGGCCGUUGUUCUUUUCGGUCUCAUUUUUCCGUGGUCUUGAUUUGGGAACGUGAUUGCAUACGGAGGAAUGGAAGUGUGUUCUUGUUUUAAGAAUAUGGUUAAUCUCAACGGAUUUUACACUUUGGAGCCAGGCUAGGUUACUCUUACAAAGAGGACAUUUUGCUAGUAGUCAAGCAUCCUGUAACUCAACUCUGAGGAACUCAAACUACAUCACAGGAUAAAUACAGGUAAUUGUCCUAAUGAGACUAGGGCAUUCUCAUCUGUGGAAAAAACAUUGAAGCAGCACACUGCCCCCUUAGAGCUCGUGUGCUCUACUUACUUCUAGAGAACACCAUCUUACUAAGUUCUUAAACCCGAGUCACUGUCAGAUGAUUUGAAUCAAUGCACUGAUGCUCUGUGAAGGUGUGAAUUAAUAGCAUGUUAGAGUUCUGAUGGCAGUUAGUGGUAAUGAAGGAAUAUUGGUCCAUCUUGAUGGUUGAAAAAUAACUGCUUGUUACUCAUUCCCAGGUUGUCCCGAUGAUUUGUCUAAAGCUUUCUUGAUUCAGGAGGCGUGUAUUCCUGUAUACCAUGAAUCUCCAGCAUUCAGAGGUUCUGUUAGCAGUAACAUACCUGUUGGUACAGAGGUAAGUAAAACUAGUGUGUACCCAUGCAUGUAACAUUGGGUUUCAAAGUUCCUAAAGGCACUUAACAUAUAUGAUGACUUUCAUAGAAUCUCGUUCGGCUGAUGAUUGCUGUUGAGACUUGGAAAUCUGAAUUAUCUCAGAAAAAUGGGUUAGAUGGGAACAGUUGGUUGCAUGAUUUAAACAUUGACCAUCUUGUUUCAGAUUUGGUGUCCUGCCUAAAGACAAGGAACCAUGCCAGGUAAAUAUGCUUUUGUAAUGCUGUUUGCUAUGUAAAUGGUACCAUUGUGCAGUGCUUUGAUCUAGUGAAUUCUUGCUCACCAGUGAUGAGUUGAAUACCGCCCCAGUCUGAUAGCUGUGAAGAAAGGUAUUUACUGAGUUGUGAGCUCACCCUAGAUCAAUUAUGAAAAGUUAGCACAUGAUCUCUAUAAAAUGAGCUCCCAUUACAAAUAAUUUUCUUCUAAGCAAAAGGGAUAAUGGGCCUACUUUCUGGUCUAUCUUGCAGGGAAAUAAAAACUGUCUUCACUCAAGGCCAGGCUGGAAUGAGGUAAGAAAACUUAGAUGUAAGGUGUACUUAACUAUAAUUUCCCCAUGAAGAAACAUUCACACGUCUUACUUCCUGUCCUAGCACCAGAGCCUGAAAAGGUGAACCCACUGGGGCUGGCUGGGGGAAAAGAGGAAAAUUUGUUCCAGAAGGAACUGUCUGAGGGAUUGAGUUUCUGUAUACAGACAGGGAAGAAUUGUCGAUUGAUUAAAGAGCAUAAGGUAGCUUGUCUCUUUAUUUCCAGGUCUGAGGAAAAGAAUGAGGAGCAUGUGAAUGGUAGGUAGCCCCUUUGGAUCAUUGGCACUGAGUAUGGGGGCAGGCUGGAGGAACCCAACAGUGAUUAGACAAGCUGUAUUGUCGUGUACCACGUGUGUGCCUUAACACUGAAGACAGGAGGGUGUGGGUGCAUUGGGCAUGCUACAUACAUUUGCCUAAUUGUAACUUAUUUUACAGGAAUCCAAAUCUUCAAGGAUGUAAAGACAUCUCUGCUCCCUCUACAUACAGUUUUGACAAUUUGAAGUUGUCUGUCUUCAUUUUCUUAAUUAAAUUCUUUAGAAUUUGU